GAUGAACGCUGGCGGCGUGCCUAAUACAUGCAGGUCGAGCGAACAGACGAGGAGCUUGCUCCUCUGACGUUAGCGGCGGACGGGUGAGUAACACGUGGAUAACCUACCUAUAAGACUGGGAUAACUUCGGGAAACCGGAGCUAAUACCGGAUAAUAUAUUGAACCGCAUGGUUCAAUAGUGAAAGACGGUUUUGCUGUCACUUAUAGAUGGAUCCGCGCCGCAUUAGCUAGUUGGUAAGGUAACGGCUUACCAAGGCAACGAUGCGUAGCCGACCUGAGAGGGUGAUCGGCCACACUGGAACUGAGACACGGUCCAGACUCCUACGGGAGGCAGCAGUAGGGAAUCUUCCGCAAUGGGCGAAAGCCUGACGGAGCAACGCCGCGUGAGUGAUGAAGGUCUUCGGAUCGUAAAACUCUGUUAUUAGGGAAGAACAAAUGUGUAAGUAACUAUGCACGUCUUGACGGUACCUAAUCAGAAAGCCACGGCUAACUACGUG
rnacentral:rRNA from 1 species